CCACCCUCGUAAAAUUAAUCAUAAUAUCUAUACAUGUAUUGCCGUAGGUUGUUACUCUCAUUACGAAUAAAAUGAAAGAAAUCGAUCCCCUCUUUAAGUUGUUUUUUACAACGGUCUUUUAUGGUGGAAGUUAUUUUGAUGGAUUAAAGGUCGGUUCGCCAGAAGAAUAUGAUCUCGAUCUCCUUUUGGAACUGCCUAAGUUCAGUACACCGAAGGUAAAAACCAGCAAUAUUCCUGGCUUCAUGCACGUUCAUUUGGAAACAUUCGAAAAACUAGUCAAGCAACCAGAAUUUGAAAAAUAUAAAUCAGAAAACGAAGGAAUGGUACAAGCCAGAAAUUUUCAUUUUCAAAACCACCAUAAUCGUAA